UUGACGCCUCGCACCCAGGCUUGCGGACCGAUGAGGAAGCCGAGCGUUCGAGAGGGUGUGUGCGGGAGCCCUCACAGCCACAGAGUAGCAGAGCUCUGUUCGAACCUACGUCUGUCGCACUCCAAAUUCUGAACCCUUUCUCCAAACACGCCUCUGCCCCUGUGUCUACAACACCCAUUCAGGCAAAGCACAGUAUGCUGCGAAUCUGCUUUACUGGGAGCCAGUGGUCGUUUAGGUCUCUGUUCCCUCACCUGCAAAAUUAAGUUGACUCUAAGGUCAACUUUGGUCACCUCCUAGUUCACAUUGUCUAACAGUAGCCCGUACUCCCCAAUCUGGUAUCCUUUGUCUCCUGAAAGGACCCAGCAGUCCAAGGUCCAAGGGAGGAAUUCAGAAGCAACACUGUUUAAUCUAGAAAAAUACGUUAAAUUGCUGGGCUGAGACUGACAGUCAAAGGUCCCAAAGCAAAAACAACUGAGAGUCCCAUGAUACUGGCCUAGCUGCUUUUCUAAUAUUUGCCUUACUCAGCGGACACAGCAGAAAGAAAGAAGGUCCUUUGUAUUUCCAGAUGAAUUUUAUAAUUAGCUUGUCAAUUUCUACAAGAUGCCUGCUGGUAUUUUUAUUGGGAUUGCACUGAAUUUGAGGAGCAAAGAAUCUCAACAAUACUGUUUUAUGACCCAUGAACAAGGAAUUAAAAACUGCUGGACUUGGAGCACAAUGGUCAAGGCCACACAUGACACGUCACUCUACCACAAAGUCAUCCACUAAAUCUCUACUAGAGGCAGAAAACUUCUCUCAACAUGAUCAACCCUAUCAGGUAAUUUACCUUUUAUUUGGUUUUUAAGAGACAUCCCUUCUGGAGCUUUCCCCUCCUGUUCCAUCCUACUCCUGGAAUAGUUGCUUUCUAGGUCUGCUAUGCAGUGGUCAUCCUAGAGCUUCCAUUCACCAUCACCUUCAGAUAUUCCUUCACUAUUUUCCUAUGUAGGAUUCCUUGUUUGCCAGUCCCAUGUCUUCUUAGCUUGGCUUCUAGUUUCUAGUACUACCAUUGAGAAAUCGGAUGUAAGACUCUUGAUGCUGUUCUGAGAUCCAUUUCUUUUUAUAUAUGUAUCUUUAUAUGGUAAAUUUUUAGAAUCUACUUUUUUUUUUUUUUUUUU
rnacentral:lncRNA from 1 species